rnacentral:rRNA from 1 species
GAUGAACGCUGGCGGCGUGCCUAAUACAUGCAAGUCGAGCGAACAGACGAGGAGCUUGCUCCUCUGACGUUAGCGGCGGACGGGUGAGUAACACGUGGAUAACCUACCUAUAAGACUGGGAUAACUUCGGGAAACCGGAGCUAAUACCGGAUAACAUGUUGAACCGCAUGGUUCAACAGUGAAAGACGGUUUUGCUGUCACUUAUAGAUGGAUCCGCGUCGCAUUAGCUAGUUGGUAAGGUAACGGCUUACCAAGGCAACGAUGCGUAGCCGACCUGAGAGGGUGAUCGGCCACACUGGAACUGAGACACGGUCCAGACUCCUACGGGAGGCAGAAGUAGGGAAUCUUCCGCAAUGGGCGAAAGCCUGACGGAGCAACGCCGCGUGAGUGAAGAAGGUCUUCGGGUCGUAAAACUCUGUUAGUAGGGAAGAACAAAUGUGUAAGUAACUAUGCACGUCUUGACGGUACCUAAUCAGAAAGCCACGGCUAACUACGUG